GGCGUAAAGCGCAUGCAGGUGGUUCAUUAAGUCAGAUGUGAAAGCCCGGGGCUCAACCUCGGAACUGCAUUUGAAACUGGUGAACUAGAGUGCUGUAGAGGGGGGUAGAAUUUC
rnacentral:rRNA from 1 species